rnacentral:rRNA from 1 species
AGAGCGAACGCUGGCGGCAGGCUUAACACAUGCAAGUCGAGCGGGCGUAGCAAUACGUCAGCGGCAGACGGGUGAGUAACGCGUGGGAACGUACCUUUUGGUUCGGAACAACCCAGGGAAGCUUGGGCUAAAUACCGGAUAAGCCCUUACGGGGAAAGAUUUAUCGCCGAAAGAUCGGCCCGCGUCUGAUUAGCUAGUUGGUGAGGUAAUGGCUCACCAAGGCGACGAUCAGUAGCUGGUCUGAGAGGAUGAUCAGCCACAUUGGGACUGAGACACGGCCCAAACUCCUACGGGAGGCAGCAGUGGGGAAUAUUGGACAAUGGGCGCAAGCCUGAUCCAGCCAUGCCGCGUGAGUGAUGAAGGCCCUAGGGUUGUAAAGCUCUUUUGUGCGGGAAGAUAAUGACGGUACCGCAAGAAUAAGCCCCGGCUAACUUCGCGCCAGCAGCCGC